AAUUAAAUAUUUUAUUGGGGUUUAUUUUAUAAUUAGUCAUAUAUGAGGGUUAAAUUGGCUACAAUUUAAAGUGGAGAAUUUACUUAUAUAUAUUUGGAAGUUUAGAAUUUAAAAGUUAUAUUCUAUUAAAGAAUAGGGACCUUCCUUAGCAAUUUUGAACAAGUGGCAUUUAUAUUCAAACUUUGACCAUUCUUUUCCACAAAAAUCACACACUAACACACACUAAAGUGUGUUGAACGGGAGGAAAUGCAGAGAAGAGAAGAAAGGGAAGAAAAGAAAAAGAAGGGAAGAAAAAGAAAAAAGAAAGAAGAAAUCUUGUGCCAACUACUUCAAUCUUGUUUAUUUAAUUCUUCAAGAGGAGGGGAUUUGGACGUGGGAACAGCAUACCAGCCCCGUUAGUCCAGCCUAUACUUGUGAGUGAAGAAUCUAUAUUUUCAAAAAGAAGAUUUUCUUUUCAUUUUAUAGAAGCAUGUUAAUUAAAUGGAAUGCUUUAUUUUCGAGAAAUAGUAAAUGAGUAUGAUUGUUUUGGAAUUAUCAUAAAAUAAUUGAUGUGAUUAUCUUACUCUAAUGCACUGAGGGGCUACGGCCGUGGGUAAAGUUAUCCAUUAUACACUGAGGGGCUACAGCCGUGUGUAAGGGUAACUCUUAUCCACUGAGGGGCUACGGCCGUGGGUAAAGUUAUCCAUUAUACACUGAGGGGCUACAGCCGUGUGUAAGGGUAACUCUUAUCCACUGAGGGGCUACGGCCGUGGGUAAAGUUAUCCAUUAUACACUGAGGGGCUACAGCCGUGUGUAAGGGUAACUCUUAUCCACUGAGGGGCUACGGCCGUGUACAGAAUAUUGAUCAGACGGUUUAUGUACAUAUGAUUUAUGGCUUUCAGAUUAUUAGUAGAUGUUUACGUGGGAUAUAUAUUUUGAUGUGAAUUUUAAUUAUAUAGUGGAUUAUUAGUCUUCAGCUUA